rnacentral:rRNA from 1 species
UUCCUUAAGAAAUAAAUUUAAGGUAUAAUCUGCCCACUGAUGAAUUAUUGAAGGGCCGCAGUAUUUUGACUGUGCAAAGGUAGCAUAAUAAUUAGUCCCUUAAUUAGGGAAUUGAAUGAAGGAUUAAAUCAAUAAUUGCUUUAUUAAUACAAAGGGUAAAUGAAAUUAAAUUUUAAGUGAAAAUUCUUAGGGAAUUCUAUUAGACGAUAAGACCCUAUAGAUCUUUAUCUAUAAUUUUCUGUUAUGAUAUGGGGGUAUUAUAACAAUAAAAUAUAGGUUUAAUUGGGGCAAUUAAAGAAUAUACUCAACUUCUUUAUCUUUUUUAAAAAUUAAUUAUUUAAAUUAAUCUAGUAAGUCUUAAAUUUAGAAAAGUUACCUUAGGGAUAACAGCGUAAUUAUAUUGGAGAGUUCUUAUCGAUAAUAUAGAUUGCGACCUCGAUGUUGAAUUAAGAGAUCCUUACAAGGGCAGUUUUUUAUGAAGGUAGUUUGUUCAACUAUUAAAUUCUUACA